AAAGGUGCAAGAGGACUCCUC
rnacentral:siRNA from 1 species